UGCAAUAUUUCUUCUUUUGAUAUGUCCUUGUCUCUACCUCAGGGCCCUGGACGCCCUGCCUGUUCAGAAGAGACUGUGGAUGUCCCCGAGCCUUGUGGUCCCUGCUUCGGAUGAUGUGGGGCAGCAUCCAUCUGAACGCAUAUCACUACCAAGUCCAAGGUUUUGGAAGGAAGCCCUUCUCCUCUCCCAUCUCAGUAUUAGACCAUCGGACCUUGGGACACGGGACUCAGGCCGCUGACUCUGCAUCCCUCACAAGUGCACAGAGCUGCCUGCCCUUUUGCCUUGUGUCCAUCCUGGAGCGGCCUUCUGCCAGGAGAAUGAAGGUUAAGGAAUCUGAAGAACACUGGACAAAUGAGACAACUGAAGAAAAGGGACAAAUCAUCUAUCCCAGGAAGCAGAGUGAAACGGCGUAUGGGUAUAUAUCUAAAAAAUUUUAUGCCUUCCUAAAUGUUUGUUUCUGCUUUUCUCUAAAGAUUUAACACUAUUGGUCUUCUAAUAGUCCCAGUCCAAUUAAAAUUUAAAGCUGACUUUGGAGUUGGAGAAUGGCUCUCUCCUUCUUUAAACUCAAGCAUGUUGUUAAAAGGAAAAUGCAAACUCCAUGUAUCAUGCCAGAAGAAAAGAGCCAUCUUCUGCUAUGGGACAGGAGAAAAGCCAAAUUAAUUAAAGGACUAUUCUAAUACUAAUCUCAACUCUUUGAUUCUAUUUUGAUUCUUUAAACUUUUCUUAAAGUAUAAAUUUUAUAUCAAAACUUACAAGAUUAAUAUAUAUAUAUAGAUAUAUAGAUAUAUAUACAUUUUAAACUUUGUUAAGAUAUGAAUGGUCAUAUAGAGUACUAAUUAAUUCUAGAAAAAAGGCUUCAAUUAGCUGCAUAUAUAUGUCUUUGUGUUUGAGUCUCUUAUCAGUUUUCUGCCGGAAAUCACAGCCAGGCCUAACAUCAACUGAAGUCUCCAGGAAGAAGUUGGGGCCCCACAACAACAUCAAUUCCACAUGGACAAUAAUAACAUCACUAAGCUGACAAACAUCAUCUACAGAUCAGCUUUGAACUACAAGGUGCUCAGAGCAAUUUUGAGAUGACUAGAUGAGAUGAUGCAGUCUCAAAGACUACUUGAAUAAGGACUUGAGAUAAACCCUGAACUUUGGCAUUAUACACAGAAUGAAUAAUGAAGGAUAUAGUUACCUUUCCUAGAAUUUGACAAUUAACCUAAAAUUUUUCUUUCAGGAUAAAGAUAACUUCACCCACACCCAGCAGGAAGCAAUUUUAAGAAUACGACACACACAUUCUCAAAGAGGUGGUGUGGGGCGGGUGGUUUUUUGGUCUUUUUAAUGGGUUUUGGGUCUGGGAUAAUUUUCAUUGUUUAGGGAGGUUGGUUACAAGUUGUUGUCAAGGGUUAGGAAAAAGGCUAAGCAGAUUAGAUUUAAGGUUCUUGUUUAAAAAAAAAAAGAAAGAAAGAAGGAAAAGACAAUUACUAGUUUUAAAUACUUUACAUUGGAAUGGAUUGUUUUAUAUUGUAUACAAAUUAUAUAUAUUGAAAUUGAUAUUGUUAGAAAAUGCUAUAUGUGUAUUUCUAAUUGUACUUAUACCGUUCAUUUAACAAUGCAGUUUUUGGAUCCUUGAAUGUUAUUAUUACCAACUAUUAGGAUAUAAAGAAAUGAAAGUUAGUAGUUAGACAUUACAAUAGAACUUGUAGUCAUAUUAGAUAUGUUUUAAAAAUUGAGCAGAUAUAUUGUAGAUAGGUCAUCUUCAAACCCUUCAGAGAACUACAGAAUAUGGCAUUUAAAAUGUUUUAAUAACUUAGAAAAUUUUUCUUUUUUGUUAUGACUAUGAGACAUGUCGGCUCCUGGCAGUACCAAUCUACUUCAGAGAAAAUAUGGGCAUUGAAGAAACUGCAUAUGGAGUUAACUUUCAUUGUGGCAAAAGUUAGCCACUGGACAACAAAGUAUCCUUGAAUCAACAGGACAAAAUGGACAUACAGGACAUGAAACAAAGGACUACUGAUUCUUGAUUCUUGCCAAAACAAGUGUGGUUAUGGCUUUAUCAAAAGGCAUCUUCUGAGGCCAGGACAAUAUGGCACCAUCCCUGAAGUGGCCUUCAAAACUCGGAAAAGGUACAGUGCCCUUUUCUUCGAAGGCAGCUGAACAGGCAGUGGGCCGAUGGCUUCUGAUGUGCAAUGGAACAGCAGCUGAAACAGUUAUUCUUGAAGAGUAAUUAAGCUCACGCCUCUCAAUAGUAGACUGGCAUUUGAUAGAGGGAUGUGGAGAAGAAUGGGAUGCUGAGAUGAAGCCAUAUGUACACAGCCAAGAAGAAUGGACAGCUGAAUUAAAAAACCAUCAACAAUUUCCAGAAUUUAAAAUCCUGAAUCAUGACAUGACACUAGUGGAACUCAGGUGUUUCUGGUAUAUGGACUGCUCUCACCCAAUGUGAGGUUGAACUGUUGACCCUGUGUACAUCCUACUUCACAACUGAGUCUGUCAGUUAUGCUAAGCCUAUAGACUGAAGAUGAUGCCCCAACACUGCAGAGAAACCUCAGAUGACUGUCCAAGUAGCUGGAAGUUUCUGUCAACUCAAAAAUUUUUUGGAAGUUGCUUGCAUGCACGUUCAGUUUUUAUUUUUGUUAGCUAAUAUUAUUUCCUUCUUGGGUCUCUGAGGGAGUUGAAGAUUAGUUAGUUAUAGUUGAAGGUUAGUUAGUUAUAGUUGAAGAUUAAUUAGGAUAGAAAGUGAAUUAGAUACAUUUUGGACUUAACAAAAUAGGAUAAUGAAAUUAUUAUCUCUGAAUUUGUCAAAUACAAAUGGACUACACAUUGUUUAGACAUUUAUUAUUUGUAUAUAUUAUAUAUAGUUAUUGUACAUUUGUAUAUAGUUUUUCUUUUGUUAGUUAUAACCUUUUUCUUAUUAAAUGUAAAAUACUGAUCCUCAUUCAACAAGGUACUAGAAGGUACUCUCCAAGUUAGGCAACCUGCUUUCUAUGGGUGCAACAAAAGCAUGUUGAAGUUCAAAGAUGGUUUUAAGCACAGCUCCCUACUUCCAAUUCUGUGAGCAGAUUCAGCCCACAGAACAGGUAUUCAGAGGCCUGCCCCUGGAUCCAGGGAGUGUCAAGUACCACAAGGGACCUCAGAGGACAGGGAUUCUACAGACAGGUUCCCACCCAGACCAGAGGAGGACCCACCACACUGUAUCCUCCACCUCACCAUCUGCUCCACUCCAUCUGGGGACAGCAGCUUCUCAUUCACCAUGUCAUGGUUUCCCAGCUCAGUCAUGCUGUCUGCUCAGCUCACUGCAGCAGCACUCACAGCACACCACACCACACAAAACUGCUGGUGCCAGCUCCUCUUCAAAGAAAAGUCUGAAGCCUGGGGCAGCAGGAGGAACCCUGCACCACUUUUGACUGGCAGGCCACCUGGAGAACCUGAUUGGCUAAUGAGACCUGAGUGACAAGACCACAUCCCAUAGGGUCACAAUGUGUUUAAAAAUACAGCACAAUUGUUCCUGUCCCUCCCUUCCACCCCAGACAAAGACUUUUUCUAGAUCAGCAGAGAUAUGCAUAUCAAUAACACUUGCCCCUGGCUGCAAAAGUAAACCCUGCUCUCUUCCUGCUCUCCUUAGGCACUUCCCCUUCUUCCUCCUGGAAAGAAUGUGGUUAGCUAGAUGUACAGACCACUAUACUAUGUAGGGUGGAGUGAUUCCCUGUGACACAGGUAGUAGGGUGCCCAGAAUAUUAACAACAAAAAAGAUACUUAAAGAUACACAAGGAGUGUUUGUUGUGUGACUUCACACUGACAUCACAUGAACUGAAGGUAUUUUUUCCCUGCUAGUCACUGGGACUUCAGACAACCAGCAAAGAAAAGCAGGAACUAGAUCACACACAAGAUAAUAGGUCUUUCUCCCAUCAGAAAGUUGGAUGUUGGUUCCAUUGCUUAAGGAGUUUUAUUCCUGAAAUUUAGAGGAAACAGUUGGAAAAUUAAAUAAUAAUGAAGAGUAGCCUUCAUGGAAAGCUGAAUACUUAGAGAAUAAUGGAGCUAUGAAGAAUUCAUUUAUGAGCACCAUUGUUAGCCAGUACAUGUUCCUUCCUGGGCAGGUGAAAAAAGAAGACAACUGUAUUGUUCAAGCUUUUCUACAUAAUCAGGACUGGUAGAAUGAAUCUCUCCAUUAAUGCAGAAAAUUGAUUUCAUAGAAUGUCUUACAAGCAUGCAGUAUGGGAAGGAGAUCCUUUUAACUAGCCCUACCUGCUGUCUGUCUCAGGGCUGGAAGAUCAUUGCAGAGAAUUCCAUUUUUUAAGCUUUAUUUUAUUUUAUGUAUAUGGGUGUUUGCCUCCAGGAGUCUGUGCAGAGUUCUUGCAGAGGCCAGGAGAGAGUUACAGGAGAUUGUUAGGUAUAAUGGAACCUGUGUCCUAUGUAACAACACCUGGUGCUGCUUUUAACUGUUAAACUAUCUCCCUAGGACACUUCUUUAAUUAAAAUUUAUUUUCAUAUAUUUUAAUUGAUAUGUAUGAAAUCAAUUUCCCAUUCCUUGUCCUCUCUCCAUCCCUUCCCAAAUUUUGCCCUUUUAAUUUUUUCCUUGUUAUGCAUGGGAGACUCUUAUGCACAAAGAUAUGAAUAAAUCCUGCUGAGUCCA